GAAAGCGUGGGGAGCAAACAGGAUUAGAUACCCUUGGUAGUCCACGCCCUAAACGAUGUCAACUAGCUGUUGGGGGUCUUCGGACUUUGGUAGCGCAGCUAACGCGUGAAGUUGACCACCUGGGGAGUACGGUCGCAAGAUUAAAACUCAAAGGAAUUGACGGGGACCCGCACAAGCGGUGGAUGAUGUGGAUUAAUUCGAUGCAACGCGAAAAACCUUACCUACCCUUGACAUGUCUGGAAUCCCGAAGAGAUUUGGGAGUGCUCGAAAGAGAACCGGAACACAGGUGCUGCAUGGCCGUCGUCAGCUCGUGUCGUGAGAUGUUGGGUUAAGUCCCGCAACGAGCGCAACCCUUGUCAUUAGUUGCUACGAAAGGGCACUCUAAUGAGACUGCCGGUGACAAACCGGAGGAAGGUGGGGAUGACGUCAGGUCCUCAUGGCCCUUAUGGGUAGGGCUUCACACGUCAUACAAUGGUCGGGACAGAGGGCAGCCAACCCGCGAGGGGGAGCCAAUCCCAGAAACCCGAUCGUAGUCCGGAUUGCAGUCUGCAACUCGACUGCAUGAAGUCGGAAUCGCUAGUAAUCGCGGAUCAGCAU
rnacentral:rRNA from 1 species